GCCCAGGAGCAGAACCAAGAGCCUUGGCCUUUCCCUGAUACUUAUCCAUAUCAUUGACACGUAGUGUUUCAUGAAAAUGCCACCUCUCCAAAGGGGAAUGGUUCCACCAGAUCCAGCUGUCCUUUUUCCUUUCUCCAGACGUGGACCAAAACGGUUUGCGGAAGGCAGCACUUCCUGGAGGAAGCGAUGGCUCAGUGCCAGCCACUGAUGCACAAAGGGAGGAGAUGCCAGACAGUGCCACAGAAGAUGUUAUCAAUGAAACAGGAAUAUAUGCCCCGGAUCCAGUGCGUCUCCCAAGAAUUGUCUGCCCCCAGGAUGCGCGCAGGACCUGCAUGAUAGGCACGGUAGUGACAGUGUUCACUGUGCCACUUGUGCUGAUAGGCUGCUAUCUUGGCAUUCGCAAGCUGUAUGAGCUCAGACGUGCUUUUUCCCGUUAUUUGAUAUAGUCAGUGAUGGCCUAAGUAUCCCAUGGCUGAAUUAAAAGACUACGCCAAUGAAAACCUG